UUAACUGAAACCAAAGAGAGGUUAUUUAUUGUUAAUAAAUCAAAUGAAAUGAUAAAUUUCCAGUUAAC
rnacentral:tRNA from 1 species